rnacentral:lncRNA from 1 species
AGGUCUAAUUAAUAUCCAUCACCAUGCAUCACCAAUUUACAAUUUUUUUCUUGUGAUGAGAGUCUUUUUUUUUUUUCCUUUGGCUGUACCUGUGGCAUGCAAAAAUUCCAGGGCCAGGGAUCGAACCCGAGCCACAGCAGUAACCAGAGCUACAGCAGUGACAACUCCAGGUCCUUAACCUACCAAACCACCAGGGAACUCCUCUUGUGUGGACACCUUUGAAGAUCUACUCUCGUGGCCACUUUCAGAUAUGUGUAUAAUACAGUAUUAUUAACUAUAGUUGCCAUGUUUAUUUUUUCUAUAACUAGAAGUUUCUACCUUUGACUCUUUUUAUCAUUUCACCACUCUCUGCUCCCUGCUUCUGGCAACUGCCAAGCUGUUCUCUGUACCUAUGAGCUUUGGUUUAUUUGUUUGUUUGCUUUUAGAUUCCAUAUAAAAGUGAGAUCACAUGGCAUUUAUCUUCUUUGACUUACUUCAUUUAGCACAGUGCCCUUAAGGUGCAUCCACGUUGUCACGAAUGGCACAAUUUUCUCUUUUUUUUAUGGCAUGUGGGUACGCCAUGUUUUCCCUAGUCAUUCAUCCAUCAAUGGACACUUUUGUUCCAUGUUUUGGAUAUUGUAAAUUAUGCUGCAAUGAACAUGGGGUUACAAUUCCUCACUUUCUAAUAUGCUAUAGUUACCUUUUACUUCAUUGGGAAGUAAAAUUUCUUAAUAAUUGUAUGAAAAGGAACGGAAAUAAAGAUUUCCUGAGUCAAAUGAGCUCCCAGUGUGGAAAAUCUUAUCCUAGGUAGAGCCUGCACUCUCAGAUAUUCAUCUAUAUCAAAGGCUUUUCAGGUCAAGCAGAAACAAAAGGUGCUGAGAAAUAGAGAGGGAGGGAUCCUGAUGUUCUCACAGCCAAGACCUUCUCCGGUGAACACUGUCGAGUGUGUUUGUGUUGUCUCGUAGGAUAAUUUCAGAAGCAAUUGAAAUAACGGGGAAUUUUCUCCUUCCUUCACUCACAGAGAGCAUGGGGCCAGCAUCUGAGAAAAAUCAAAGGCAAUAAAUAAACAAUCCACUGGGGGGAAAAGAAACUAAAUGACCCACUGCCAAGUGUUUACUUGCAGAUUCUGGAAGUCUUGAUGAGGCCAGGUUUUGAAAGUAAUUUGAAAAGUGGAAUGAACACAUUACUGUGAAACGCAGUACGCACUUAGCAAGGAUGGUUGACUUUUAACUUUUACCUUGAAUCCCUUCACUAUGGAAUUGAACAUAAACGUCUUUUGUCAACAGAUGAAAUGAAGCGAAAAGGCAUCUCCGCGCCGCCUGUUUCUUCUCAAGGAGAAAGAGCCACUCUUCCUGGUAACUGAUGCUGACAACAAAAGGGCUCAUGGUUUAUAUUUCAUUUACUAAAGUUCUUGAAAUCGAAAUCUGUUUAAAAGCCUUUGUAAGUCGCUCUCUUUCCCACCUGAUAAAGGCUUCCGUGCCAUUUCUGAAGUUGCCGUGGAAGGAAGGUCUGAAUCUAUUGGCUGGCACUUGCGAAUUAAGAAAUUUUGCACACACAGUGAGUGUGGCCGUGCAGGAAACCACCACCCAUCACAAGCUGAAUUAUUUCAUCCAGUUCUUAACCUGGAGGGCUCUGUUCCCCUCAGGGCAAUUAAUGAAGCAAACAGGACCAGGGUUGGUACUUUUGACAGAUUAGAACAAAGGCUCUUGCGUUGGGGCCUUCAUGGGUCUCCUAGUGGAGAGUCCUCAUAAACCCUGUAUAACAGAUCUUUCAAUUCUUCCUCAAAAGCUCUCUUGUCACCACGGGAGGUUUGCUACUUGCAAAUUUCUCUAUUGCUGUUUUCAUUUCCUCCUCGGUAAUAGAGGCAAUCAGUUUCUCAUUACCCAGAAGAUCCAGUUUUGGCAUUUUAAUUUUAGUCAGAAUUUCCAUAAUCUCUCUGUUAUCAGCUGUGAGCUCCGAUGCAAAUAUCAGUUUGGAGAACAAAUGAAAAAAAAAAAAAAAGAGCAAGAGAAACUUUUUACCUUAUUGCUCUCUAAUGAUCAAAUGUAGGACCUGCUGACAUGAAAAAAACUAUAGUGUUUUGUGAUUUUGAGUCUUAUUAAUGCAUUAGCUAACCCUGACAUUGGCAUACGUAUUUAUAAAAUUUGAUUCAAAAAACUUUAGGAAAAUUUUAGCAUAAUACAAUGUGAGGCUUUAACAUUCCCUGGGUUUCUGUGUUGGGUGUAGAACCCCGUUAGGUGUUAUCAGGAUCCUGGGGAACAGGUUUAGGUCCGAGUGGAGAAAAUUUAGUGCUUUUCGGCAAGGGGGCUAUUUUACUGAUGUGUUAUAGCGUCGGGCCCUGAAUAUAAGCACUGAUGUCUAGUGAUUUUGUGCCAAACUCCACUCCUUUAUCCACCAUCGUUGGCCUGAUGUAUUUUGAAGGAUAAAAAGACUUACAAUUUAGGAGAAGAGAUAACAUAUACAAAACC